AGGUCACUCUGUGUCCUGUCCCAGCUCGGGUCUGAGCCCAGGACAUGGCGGAGGUGGAGGGGAGGUGCACAGGGGAGCGUCCCCCAUGAGGAGGCCGAGGCAGACGGAGCUCCCUGCCCGGGGCUCCCACCCAGACAUCUCCCACGGAGCUAAGAGGAGAGGGGCACGGGAGACACAGGAGAAGCAGAGACAAUCAACACAUCACAGAAUAAUUCAGAGCCCAACACAGGUAAGAAGAACUCCCAGGUGUAGGGCUGGACACAGGGGGUCAAGCCAUGUCCAGGAGCGCAGGUGGACAUGCAGGGCUGCAGGGGAGAUUCUAGUCUGUUCUGACCUCUCUGACCUCUUUGUCUCCAUCCCCAGCCUCACAGCCUCAGGAUUACACCAUGGAGAACCUCAUCCGCAUGGGCCUGGCUGGCCUGGUCCUGGUGGCCCUGGGGAUUCUGCUCUUCAAGGAUCAGUGCAGUCAGAGAAGGACCCAAGAUGCAGCCGGGAGAUGAAGAAAUAGCAGUCAGUGCUUGCUGAAACCCCUGUGGAUGGUAUCAGUCUAUCCCACCCAGCAGUAUGGCACAUGGAUGCAAAAUAAAGACAAAAGGAGAAAGUUCUGCAGUUGAGGAGCUCC
rnacentral:lncRNA from 1 species